UUCUUCAUGAACAUCUGAAAGUUGAAAAUAUUACACGGUGCAAAAUGCCUUUCCAGCCUAUUUAAAGAUGUGUAGCAGCACAAAUACUCACAGCAGGAUUCAUCCUUACUCAUCUAUUCUAAAGUGAUUCGAAACGAUAAAAUUCAGGAUUAUGACAACAAAAUAAAAUCUAAAUAAAGGUGAUAGUAAAUUUCUGCAAAAGAGGAACCUGGCACAGUUUCAUUGUUUUCUUCAAAAUGAAGAUAUUUAUUGGUCUAUGAUUAAUAAAUUAACAUACAUAUGCUGCAAAAAUGUAAAGAAACAAUACAGAAUAAAGAAAAAGCAUGAAAA